GACGAACGCUGGCGGCGUGCUUAACACAUGCAAGUCGAACGGAAAGGCCCUGCUUUUGUUGGUUUCUCGAUUGGCGCACGGGUGAGUAACACGUGAGUAACCUGCCCUUGUCUUUCGGAUAACUUUAGGAAACUCGGGCUCAUACCCGAUAUGAUCUCCUGCUGCAUGGUGUGCGUUGGAAAGUUUCGGCGGUUGGGUAUGGUCUCGCGGCUUAUCAGCUUGUUGGUCGAGUAGUGGCUUACCAAGGGUUAGACGGGUAGCCGGCCUGAGAGCGUUACCGGGCACAAUGGGACUGAGAGACGGAGCAGAAGGGUAUGGGACGCAGUAGGGGGGAAUAUGACAGAACGAGGGGGAGCCAGAGGCAGAAAUGCUCGGAGCGGGAAAACCGCCUACGGGGGGAAAACAGAUGUCGAAUGUGACAAAGAGGGAGUGACGGUAAUGGAUAAAGAAGCACCGGCUAACUACGUG
rnacentral:rRNA from 1 species